GACGAACGCUGGCGGCGUGCUUAACACAUGCCAGUCGAACGGAAAGGCCCUUCGGGGUACUCGAGUGGCGAACGGGUGCGUAACACGUGGGUGAUCUGCCCUGCACUUUGGGAUAAGCCUGGGAAACUGGGUCUAAUACCGAAUAGGACCACGCGCUUCAUGGUGUGUGGGGGAAAGCUUUUGCGGUGUGGGAUGGGCCCGCGGCCUAUCAGCUUGUUGGUGGGGUAAUGGCCUACCAAGGCGACGACGGGUAGCCGGCCUGAGAGGGUGACCGGCCACACUGGGACUGAGAUACGGCCCAGACUCCUACGGGAGGCAGCAGUGGGGAAUAUUGCACAAUGGGCGCAAGCCUGAUGCAGCGACGCCGCGUGAGGGAUGACGGCCUUCGGGUUGUAAACCUCUUUCGAUUGGGACGAAGCGCAAGUGACGGUACCUAGAGAAGAAGCACCGGCCAACUACGUG
rnacentral:rRNA from 1 species